UCCGGCUUAACGCCGGCAGUCCUCCUAGAGUGCCCAACUUAAUGGUGGCAACUAAGAGCAAGGGUUGCGCUCGUUGCGGGACUUAACCCAACUUCUCACGACACGAGCUGACGACAGCCAUGCACCACCUGUGAUCCUGCCCCGAAGGGAAGCCCUGUUUCCAGGGCGGUCAGGAACAUGUCAAGCCCAGGUAAGGUUCUUCGCGUUGCGUCGAAUUAAACCACAUGCUCCGCUGCUUGUGCGGGCCCCCGUCAAUUCCUUUGAGUUUUAGCCUUGCGGCCGUACUCCCCAGGCGGGACACUUAUUGCGUUAGCUGCGGCACGGAGGGGGUCGACACCUCCCACACCUAGCACCCAUCGUUUACGGCGUGGACUAC
rnacentral:misc_RNA from 1 species